UUCCUCAGUUGCAGUGAGAUGUGAGGCACUUGCAGAGACUCAGUCCACCACCCUGGGCAGCUUUCACCACCCUGGGCAGCUUUUCCGAGACGUAGGGACUGGCUUGCCGUAAUUCAUAGCUUCUGCUGUCCCUUGCUACAUACCUCCUGUUUGGUCACAAACUAGGAUUGCAGCAUCUGCUUGUAGGCUCAAAAUAAAGGGAUGGAGAAAAAUCGACCAAGCAAAUGGAAAACAGAAAAGAGCAACUUGCUUCCUGAAAAUUCACGAACUCUCAGAUCCUAGAUGAAAAUGAGACCAGAAGAUGGAAGAAUCUGGAUCUCAAAAGACUCUCACUCUAUUACCCAGGCUGGAGUGCGGUGGCAUGAUCUCGGCUCACUGCAAACUCUGCCUCCCCAGUUCAAAUGAUUCUUCUGCCUUCUGCCUCAGCCUCCCAAAUAGCUGGAACUACAGCAAGGCCAACUUUUCUACCAGAUAACCCUGACCUCAUCCUGUCAGAAUUGAAUGGACCAAGAAUUGAGCUACCCUAAAAGGCCAGUUUUCUGGAAAUAGUUUGAAGAUACCGACUCAUGGUUAAAUGUUUCACAUUUACCCUCAGAAAUGAGUGCUACUGUUCAGAAACGGAGGUGCCCACUUUGCUUGUGGGAUUUAGGAGGAAAUGCCACACACUGUCAUAGAAAAAAUGGCGUCUCACUCUAUUGCCCAGGCUAGAGUACAAUAGUGCAAUCUUGGCUCACUGCAACCUCCCCCUCCCAGGUUCAAGCCAUUCUCCUGCCUCAGCCUCCCGAGUAGCUAGAACUACAAGCACGUGCACUGUACCCAGCUAAUUUUUUGUAUUUUUAGCAGAGACGGGGUUUCUCCAUGUUGGCCAGGCUGGUCUCGAACUCCUGACCUCAGGUAAUCCACCGCCUCAUCCUCCCAAAAUGCAUUAUCUCUUCCCAAAAUGCAUUAUCUAUUUCAUUAAGAAAAAGGAGAAAGCAACCAUGCUAAGCUUCAAAUAAAAGCAUGUGAGCACACCUGAUGACGCUAGACCCACUGGAAUCUCGCAUAACUCAUCCUGAACGUGUUGGGAAUCAAGUCUCUCAGGAUUAGCCCUGGUAAUCUGAAAGUCACCAGUCAUCAAGAAGUGGCAUCUCUACCAUGUGGUGCAAUCAUAGCCCUGAACUCAAAUUUCUGUCUGAUAUAUUUGAUGUGAUCCCUCCUUUUAUACCCUUUUAACUUCUGCUUGGAGAGACCCACUGACCUUGUAGCUGACUGUCAGAACUUUUCCUUGCCAGGCCAGCAAUAAAUUUGGCAUUGUUUUGGACAUUG
rnacentral:lncRNA from 1 species